rnacentral:rRNA from 1 species
UACGUAGGUGGCAAGCGUUGUCCGGAUUUAUUGGGUUUAAAGGGUGCGUAGGCGGUCCUAUAAGUCAGUGCUGAAAUAUCCCGGCUUAACCGGGAGGGUGGCAUUGAUACUGUGGGACUUGAGUAAAGUUGAGGUUGGCGGAAUUGACGGUGUAGCGGUGAGAUGCGUAGAUAUUGGGAGGAACACCAGUGGCGAAGGCGGCUCACUGGACCGAUACUGACGCUGAGGCGCGAAAGCUAGGGGAGCAAACGGG